UACGUAGGGUGCGAGCGUUAUUCGGAAUCACUGGGCUUACAGGGUGCGUAGGCGGCUCAACAAGUCAGGUGUGAAAGCCCCCGGCUCAACCGGGGAACUGCGCUUGAAACUGUUAGGCUCGAGUCAGCUAGAGGUACACGGAACUUCCAGUGGAGCGGUGAAAUGUGUUGAUAUUGGAAGGAACACCGGAGGCGAAAGCGGUGUACUGGGGCUGGUCUGACGCUGAGGCACGAAAGCCAGGGGAGCGAACGGG
rnacentral:rRNA from 1 species